rnacentral:rRNA from 1 species
GUCUACAGCCAUCCUACCCUGAACAAGCCCGAUCCUAUCUGAUCUCGGAAGCUAAGCAGGGUCGGGCCUGGUUAGUACUUGGAUGGGAGUCUACCUAGGAAGACCAGGUGCUCUUGUAG